AUGAAGCGGCCCUGGCAAGGACAAGUGGAGCCCCAGCUUCUGAAGACGGUCCCCCGCCAUGACCCACUCAACCCUCUGUGUCCCGGGGCCACACGAGCUAAUGGGGAGGUAAGCCCGAAUACACAGCCACCAAGUGGAAUAGGAGGAAAUAGUUUUUCCUUAUUACUGCUCUUCGCCCACAAGAGGGAGCAGUGCACCCCCUUUUGAGUCAGUUCCCAGCAAGCAAUUUUGAUCCUUAGAAAGGGCCUUUCGCGCCCCCCCCCCCCCCGCAGCCUGUGUACCCCUUGAAUUGGGUCAGAUGGUUGUAUUUCUAGCCUAUUCUUGUCAGUAGGUGAAUCCCCCCUAUGAUGGCACCUUCUUAUUUGACAAUGACUUCCCGGCUCUGCAGCCCGAUGCUCCGGAUCCAGGACCCAGUGACCACCCUCUCUUCCGAGUGGAGGCCGCCAGAGGAGUUUGGUAACUAUGGGUUUCCCCGCUUAUAACCUCCAGCCAGGGCUGAAGACUAAGACCUGGGCUUGGGCCCUGCCCUUAGCACCCAACCCCUAUCCCUUUGUCAUUCUUCCCUCACCACCUAGUAAGGUCAUGUGCUUCCACCCCUGGUCGGAUGUGACGCUGCCACUCAUGUCUGUCCCUGAGAUCCGAGCUGUCAUCGAUGCAUGGGCCUCAGUCACAGAGGAACUGGGCGCCCAGUACCCUUGGGUGCAGGUCUGUGAGGGGGAGGUGUAACUUUGGUCUGGGGGAGUAGCAGUAUUGCUUCCACAGGGUAUGGCGAGGA
rnacentral:lncRNA from 1 species